GGUCCCAUCGUCAAGCGGUCAAGACGUUGCCCUUUCACGGCAGAGUCGGGAGUUCGAUUCUCCCUGGGAUCACCA
rnacentral:tRNA from 1 species